rnacentral:rRNA from 1 species
UACGUAGGGUGCAAGCGUUAAUCGGAAUUACUGGGCGUAAAGCGUGCGCAGGCGGCUUUGCAAGACAGAUGUGAAAUCCCCGGGCUUAACCUGGGAACUGCAUUUGUGACUGCAAGGCUAGAGUACGGCAGAGGGGGAUGGAAUUCCGCGUGUAGCAGUGAAAUGCGUAGAUAUGCGGAGGAACACCGAUGGCGAAGGCAAUCCCCUGGGCCUGUACUGACGCUCAUGCACGAAAGCGUGGGUAGCAAACAGG